AUGAACGCUGGCGGCGUGCCUAAUACAUGCAAGUCGAGCGAACAGACGAGGAGCUUGCUCCUCUGACGUUAGCGGCGGACGGGUGAGUAACACGUGGAUAACCUACCUAUAAGACUGGGAUAACUUCGGGAAACCGGAGCUAAUACCGGAUAAUAUAUUGAACCGCAUGGUUCAAUAGUGAAAGACGGUUUUGCUGUCACUUAUAGAUGGAUCCGCGCCGCAUUAGCUAGUUGGUAAGGUAACGGCUUACCAAGGCGACGAUGCGUAGCCGACCGGAGAGGGUUAUCGGCCACCCUGGAACUGAGACACGGUCCAGACUCCUACGGGAGGCAGCAGUAGGGAAUCUUCCGCAAUGGGCGAAAGCCUGACGGAGCAACGCCGCGUGAGUGAUGAAGGUCUUCGGAUCGUAAAACUCUGUUAUUAGGGAAGAACAAAUGUGUAAGUAACUAUGCACGUCUUGACGGUACCUAAUCAGAAAGCCACGGCUAACUACGUG
rnacentral:rRNA from 1 species